AUUAUUUUGGCAGAUUAGUGCAUUAAAUUUAGAAUUUAUUAAAAAAAUUUUUAUGAUUUAAAUAAUA
rnacentral:tRNA from 1 species